rnacentral:rRNA from 1 species
GCAUAUCAAUAAGCGGAGGAAAAGAAACCAACAGGGAUUGCCUUAGUAACUGCGAAGUGAAGCGGCAAAAGCUCAAAUUUGAAAUCUGGUGCCUUCGGCGCCCGAGUUGUAAUUUGGAGAGACAUCUUCGGAGUAGACGCCGUCCUAAGUUCCUUGGAACAGGACGUCACAGAGGGUGAGAAUCCCGUGCCUGGAUGGCUGUUCUACUUCAUGUGAAGUGUCUUCGACGAGUCGAGUUGUUUGGGAAUGCAGCUCAAAAUGGGAGGUAAAUUUCUUCUAAAGCUAAAUAUUGGCGAGAGACCGAUAGCGCACAAGUAGAGUGAUCGAAAGAUGAAAAGCACUUUGAAAAGAGAGUUAAAAAGUACGUGAAAUUGUUGAAAGGGAAGCGCUUGAGACCAGACUCGACCAGUGGUGAUCAGUGGUGCUUCUGUGCCGUUGUACUUGCCAUUGGUUGGGCCAGCAUCGGUUUGGGCGGCGGGAUAAAGACCUAAGGAAUGUGGCUCCCUCCGGGGAGUGUUAUAGCCUUGGGUGCAAUGCCGCCAGUCCGGACCGAGGACCGCGCUUCGGCUAGGAUGCUGGCGUAAUGGUCUUCAGCGACCCGUCUUGAAACACGGACCAAGGAGUCUAACAUCUAUGCGAGUGUUCGGGUGGAAAACCCUUGCGCGUAAUGAAAGUGAACGGAGGUGAGAACACUUCGGUGUGCAUCAUCGACCGAUCCUGAUGUCUUCGGAUGGAUUUGAGUAUGAGCAUAGCUGUUGGGACCCGAAAGAUGGUGAACUAUGCCUGAAUAGGGUGAAGCCAAGAGGAAACUUCUGGUGGAGGCUUCGCAGCGGUUUCUGACGUGCAAAUCGAUUCGUCAAAUUUGGGKAAUARGGGGCGAAAGACUAAUCGAACCAUCUAGUAGCUGGUCUGC